rnacentral:lncRNA from 10 species
CUACUGUGUUUGUUCACUAACUCCUUUGAACCUACCACAUAAGCUAUAUCUGUAUUUUCCUUGUAAUUUGGGAGGUCCAGUGCUUCAUUACGCUCAUAUGCCUGAAACUAAUGAAGAAAAUAGCUCGUUAACCAGCUAGUAUAAAAGUAGCCACCAAAUCAAGUCAAUCACCUGCCUUAAAUUAGCCCAGUACUCCCAUCUUGAGCGGAGAAGCCCAUUCUGAAUCACAGUCAAGACAUUGAUGGAAAAACAACUCCCUCUGGGGAUCAAAACCACGCUCACUCCAAAUCCUCCUCCCCAGAGUUCUACUCAUUGCUCACCCACUGAACCCAGAACUAACCAGAAGUGCUUGAAAUGAGGACGGGUAGCUCCAUGUACCAAUCGGAAUUUAAAACUCUAUCAAUUCCUGCUAUAGAAAUGAGGCUUCUCCCCAGGACCAGCAUUCCACGAAGGCAGCCCUUUUCUAGAUGGAGAAAACAGAACCUGAAGACACCCGUUUCCCUAAACUGCUCUCGCUCAUGUAAACUCCUGGAGGGCAGAGGCAUGCCUGCCAUCUUCAUCAUUGCAUUACCACCACCCAACACUAUCGGGGGACCUGCCCUGAUAAUCAGUCUACAGGUGUAUCCAGCAGCUCCAGAGAGACAGCGACCAGCGAGAAGGGGCCAUGAUGAUGGUGGUGGUUUUGUCAAAACGAAAAGGGGGAUAUGUAGGGAAAAGAAAGAG